GGACCCGCACAAGCGGUGGAUGAUGUGGAUUAAUUCGAUGCAACGCGAAAAACCUUACCUACCCUUGACAUGUCCGGAAUCCUGCAGAGAUGCGGGAGUGCCCGAAAGGGAAUCGGAACACAGGUGCUGCAUGGCUGUCGUCAGCUCGUGUCGUGAGAUGUUGGGUUAAGUCCCGCAACGAGCGCAACCCUUAUCAUUAGUUGCUACGCAAGGGCACUCUAAUGAGACUGCCGGUGACAAACCGGAGGAAGGUGGGGAUGACGUCAAGUCCUCAUGGCCCUUAUGGGUAGGGCUUCACACGUCAUACAAUGGUCGGUACAGAGGGUUGCCAAGCCGCGAGGUGGAGCCAAUCCCAGAAAGCCGAUCGUAGUCCGGAUUGUUCUCUGCAACUCGAGAGCAUGAAGUCGGAAUCGCUAGUAAUCGCGGAUCAGCAUGUCGCGGUGAAUACGUUCCCGGGUCUU
rnacentral:rRNA from 1 species